GAUGAACGCUAGCGGCAGGCUUAAUACAUGCAAGUCGUGGGGCAGCAUGAGUAGCAAUACUUGAUGGCGACCGGCAAACGGGUGCGGAACACGUACACAACCUUCCGAUAAGUGGGGAAUAGCCCAGAGAAAUUUGGAUUAAUACCCCGUAACAUAUAGAGUAGGAAUCUUCUUUAUAUUAUAGCUUCGGCGAUUAUUGAUGGGUGUGCGUCUGAUUAGGUAGUUGGCGGGGUAACGGCCCACCAAGCCUACGACCAGUAGCUGAUGUGAGAGCAUGAUCAGCCACACGGGCACUGAGACACGGGCCCGACUCCUACGGGAGGCAGCAGUAAGGAAUAUUGGACAAUGGGCGAAAGCCUGAUCCAGCCAUGCCGCGUGAAGGAUUAAGGUCCUCUGGAUUGUAAACUUCUUUUAUUUGGGACGAAAAAAGGGAAUUCUUUCCCACUUGACGGUACCAAGUGAAUAAGCACCGGCUAACUCUGUGCCAGCCGCCGCCGUAA
rnacentral:rRNA from 1 species